ensembl:lincRNA
UUGUAUUACAGGGUAUCUCUCGAAAGAGCAGCUUGGAACCAAAGUGUGACUGCAAGAAUUGAAAGGAGGUGCAAGCCUAUGGUCCAGGACAAAGGCAUCAAGGGCAGAACACUUGCUUCAGAAAUUGCGGUGGUGAGAAAAGCUGGAAAGAAUUCAUGUCACACAAAUCCAGAUAUACCCAAGAGUACAUGGGAAUAUGCCUGCUUCAACUCCUGUCUUUGUGCAAACCUGCCCAUCACAGAACUCUACAAGGUAAGGAUUUUUCAUCUCUCCUUCUGGCAAGCUCAGGAAAGAAACUGUAGGUUUGUGUGGUUGUAUAGUCCAGUGGGUUGGGCUUAUAUGAAGCGCAGGUUGUCAACAUCCACUGAUGACCGAAUAAGAUGAAGCAUGAUUCACAUUUCAACUCAAGAGAUAAACUUCAGUGCUAACUAAAAGCUCCCAGCCAAGGGAGACUGAAUGGGCUUCUUGCUGUCUGGGCUGGGAAUACUCACAGCUGGGGGAGAGCAGAUGAGUCCUACUUGGCUCCCUUUCUUUCCUUCUAAGACCUUUCCAUCUGGGAAGCACUGCCACUACCUCAUCUUAACACCACACUCACCAAAGUCAGGUCCUGUCCAAAGGCAUUGGGCAGUUCUGUGAGAAUAAGGCACAUUUCCAUUUCUCUGAAAUAAUAAUAUUGAAACAUCAGCAGGAGCAGUUACAAGCCAAGAAUAGCUCCUCAUCCCAGGAAGGAGGGACCAUAAGGCAACAUGAAAGUUCGCUUGCCAAAGUCACUGAUACUCAGGCAAAAAGUAAAAUAAAGCAUCAAAAGGGCCAAUCAGGGACUAUGAUGAGAGUAUUACAAGAUGUCCCAGUGACCUUUGAAACUACAUGGUUAUUGAAAAUGAUGAAAUUUCAACAGGGGCAAGGAGGGUUCUGUUCAGUUCUCACUGGUGCAGCAAGAGAUCUGGGUCAUAAACUCCUGAAUUUAGAAGAGAGUCUCAUGCUGUUCCAACUCUAACUGAUCAUUUUUCUUUUUCUUUCCUUUUUUUUUUUUUGUGUGUGUGCUCAUUCUUUCAUUUACUCAUGCAUUCAUUUAACAAAUGCACUUUUAAGGGCUUAUUAUAUUCCUAGACAUCAGCUAAAGGCUACAAAGGCGAGCAAGACCGAUAACAGCCUUUGUCCAUAAGGACGUCGUGUCUGUCAGAUUUUGGUCAGUCACUGCAUUGUUGUGAACUUCAGCUUCAUCAUCCAGCACAGAGAAGUUGUGAGGCCUUCCCUAGGUCUCUUGUAGUGUUGCCAGGAGCUGGUUUGCAUGAGAUGAUGGAGGGAAAACUACUGUGGAAGAGCUCUUUUGCAGGUCUAUAAAAGUGAGUAGUAGCAGGAGUAUUACCUUAGCUCUGAGAACACUACGGCUAAGUCUCCAGGGAGCUGACUUAGACCUCCUUCCCUUUCUUCCUCAGCUUUUCCCUCCCCCAACUUAAGCUCUAAACAGAGACGUAGUCCAAAGAGAACCAUCCCAGGCUUGAUGAUAAAGGGACAAUGGGAUUUCUGGGUGAUUCUCUGGGCCCAUGGACAGAAGGCCUGCAGUCCAGCAUUCCAAACAAACCAGGUUAUUUUGGAGAGACUCAACAGCAGAACUAUAGGCUCAGAACAAAGGAAUUGGCCCAUUUCCACAUCUCUGAGGUGGGCACGCACCAGCUAAAUACACCAGUUUCUAGUCAUGGCCCAGUUUGAGGAAAGCUAGAAAUCAGAAAAACUACAGGCAGUUAGAGAAAGUUGGUUACUGGUAGUGGUUUCUUCUGGCCAGUGAAACAACACCAUGGAAGCCAGUUUGCCGAAUGAUGGAAUUACCCAGAGGAACUGUCAAAAUGUAGACACCCAGCUUUUGCUAUGAAAAGAGUCUGAUUUUGAAAGUUUGAAGUGGAGCCUAGGAAGUGAUUCUGAUACUCCAGAAUGCGUGAGAACCCCGUAUCUCAACAAUCUAUGUGGGACCAUAAAUGUAUACAAAUAUAAUCAAUAAAAAAGCUGUACAUUGAAAAAGCCAACUUUUUUUUAGAAUUUAAAGGUUCUCUAGGAUCCACUUGUACCUGAUUGUCUUCUGACUCUUAGUCCUCAAGGUAUAAAACUAAAAGACCCA